UACAGAGGUCUCAAGCGUUGUUCGGAUUCAUUGGGCGUAAAGGGUGCGUAGGCGGCGCGGUAAGUCGGGUGUGAAAUCUCGGAGCUUAACUCCGAAACUGCAUUCGAUACUGCCGUGCUUGAGGACUGGAGAGGAGACUGGAAUUUACGGUGUAGCGGUGAAAUGCGUAGAUAUCGGGAGGAACACCGGUGGCGAAGGCGGCGACCUGGGUAGAUACUGACGCUGAGGUGCGAAAGCGUGGGGAGCAAACAGG
rnacentral:rRNA from 1 species